CAUUCCUUUAUAUUUAUUUAAUUUUAUUUAGAAAUACAUAAAAUUAUUAAAAAUUAAAAAAAUAAAAUACUAUUUUAAAAAAAUAAUAUAUGAGAAAAAAUAAUCCAAUAUUUGGAAACUAAAUUUCAUAAUUUUUCGACAUCAUUUGGCUGGUGAUCGAAAGAUCUCAAAAUUGACAAUUUUAAUGGUAGAUGUGAUGCGUUUGUGAAUUUAACGGUAUAAAAUAAUUCAAAUCUGAUGAAAUUUUUAUAGAAAAUUCUUUUCACUAUUUAAGAUAAGAUCAGCAUCUCUGAUCUAAAAUUUAAGUCUUUUAUCAUUACUUUUUAUGAAAUUUUUAUUUUCAACCAUUCAUUUUUAAACUACUCAUUUGAUAGGUAAAUAAUGUUGAAAAAUUAUGAAAUUUACUCUCCAAAUGCUUUCAAAAAUAUAAAUCAAGUCUAACGGAGCCGAUCGUCGAUAUCAACCAAAAGUGUGAGAUGAGUCUCGGUUGAAAUGAGUCUUAUAUCGCUUUAUGCUUAUGACUAUGCCUGAAUUAA
rnacentral:lncRNA from 1 species